UACGUAGGGUGCAAGCGUUGUCCGGAAUUAUUGGGCGUAAAGAGCUCGUAGGCGGUCUGUCACGUCGGCUGUGAAAUCCCGAGGCUCAACCUCGGGUCUGCAGUCGAUACGGGCAAACUAGAGUAUUGCAGGGGAGACUGGAAUUCCUGGUGUAGCGGUGAAAUGCGCAGAUAUCAGGAGGAACACCGGUGGCGAAGGCGGGUCUCUGGGCCGAUAUUGACGCUGAGGAGCGAAAGCGUGGGGAGCGAACAGG
rnacentral:rRNA from 1 species